rnacentral:rRNA from 1 species
GAUGAGCCAGAAUUGGUACCUUGUCUUUAAUAAGGUGCAAAAUGAUUUUAACUGAAGAGUUUGAUCAUGGCUCAGAUUGAACGCUGGCGGCAGGCUUAACACAUGCAAGUCGAGCGGAGAGAGGUAGCUUGCUACUGAUCUUAGCGGCGGACGGGUGAGUAAUGCUUAGGAAUCUGCCUAUUAGUGGGGGACAACAUUUCGAAAGGAAUGCUAAUACCGCAUACGUCCUACGGGAGAAAGCAGGGGAUCUUCGGACCUUGCGCUAAUAGAUGAGCCUAAGUCGGAUUAGCUAGUUGGUGGGGUAAAGGCCUACCAAGGCGACGAUCUGUAGCGGGUCUGAGAGGAUGAUCCGCCACACUGGGACUGAGACACGGCCCAGACUCCUACGGGAGGCAGCAGUGGGGAAUAUUGGACAAUGGGCGCAAGCCUGAUCCAGCCAUGCCGCGUGUGUGAAGAAGGCCUUAUGGUUGUAAAGCACUUUAAGCGAGGAGGAGGCUACUUUAGUUAAUACCUAGAGAUAGUGGACGUUACUCGCAGAAUAAGCACCGGCUAACUCUGUGCCAGCAGCCGCGGUAAUACAGAGGGUGCAAGCGUUAAUCGGAUUUACUGGGCGUAAAGCGCGCGUAGGCGGCUAAUUAAGUCAAAUGUGAAAUCCCCGAGCUUAACUUGGGAAUUGCAUUCGAUACUGGUUAGCUAGAGUGUGGGAGAGGAUGGUAGAAUUCCAGGUGUAGCGGUGAAAUGCGUAGAGAUCUGGAGGAAUACCGAUGGCGAAGGCAGCCAUCUGGCCUAACACUGACGCUGAGGUGCGAAAGCAUGGGGAGCAAACAGGAUUAGAUACCCUGGUAGUCCAUGCCGUAAACGAUGUCUACUAGCCGUUGGGGCCUUUGAGGCUUUAGUGGCGCAGCUAACGCGAUAAGUAGACCGCCUGGGGAGUACGGUCGCAAGACUAAAACUCAAAUGAAUUGACGGGGGCCCGCACAAGCGGUGGAGCAUGUGGUUUAAUUCGAUGCAACGCGAAGAACCUUACCUGGCCUUGACAUAGUAAGAACUUUCCAGAGAUGGAUUGGUGCCUUCGGGAACUUACAUACAGGUGCUGCAUGGCUGUCGUCAGCUCGUGUCGUGAGAUGUUGGGUUAAGUCCCGCAACGAGCGCAACCCUUUUCCUUAUUUGCCAGCGAGUAAUGUCGGGAACUUUAAGGAUACUGCCAGUGACAAACUGGAGGAAGGCGGGGACGACGUCAAGUCAUCAUGGCCCUUACGGCCAGGGCUACACACGUGCUACAAUGGUCGGUACAAAGGGUUGCUACCUAGCGAUAGGAUGCUAAUCUCAAAAAGCCGAUCGUAGUCCGGAUUGGAGUCUGCAACUCGACUCCAUGAAGUCGGAAUCGCUAGUAAUCGCGGAUCAGAAUGCCGCGGUGAAUACGUUCCCGGGCCUUGUACACACCGCCCGUCACACCAUGGGAGUUUGUUGCACCAGAAGUAGCUAGCCUAACUGCAAAGAGGGCGGUUACCACGGUGUGGCCGAUGACUGGGGUGAAGUCGUAACAAGGUAGCCGUAGGGGAACCUGCGGCUGGAUCACCUCCUUAA